rnacentral:rRNA from 1 species
AGUAACACGUGAGUAACCUGCCCCCUUCUUUGGGAUAACGGUCGGAAACGGCUGCUAAUACCGGGUAUUCACUGUCCUUCGCAUGGGGGGUGGUGGAAAGGUUUUUUCUGGUGGGGGAUGGGCUCGCGGCCUAUCAGCUUGUUGGUGGGGUGAUGGCUUACCAAGGCUUUGACGGGUAACCGGCCUGAGAGGGUGACCGGUCACAUUGGGACUGAGAUACGGCCCAGACUCCUACGGGAGGCAGCAGUGGGGAAUAUUGCACAAUGGGCGAAAGCCUGAUGCAGCGACGCCGCGUGAGGGAUGACGGCCUUCGGGUUGUAAACCUCUUUCGCUCAUGGUCAAGCCGCAACAGUGGUUGUGGUGAGGGUAGUGGGUAAAGAAGCACCGGCUAACUACGUGCCAGCAGCCGCGGUAAUACGUAGGGUGCGAGCGUUGUCCGGAAUUAUUGGGCGUAAAGGGCUUGUAGGCGGUUUGUCGCGUCUGCCGUGAAAUCCUCUGGCUUAACUGGGGGCGUGCGGUGGGUACGGGCAGGCUUGAGUGCGGUAGGGGAGACUGGAACUCCUGGUGUAGCGGUGGAAUGCGCAGAUAUCAGGAAGAAC